ACGAACGCUGGCGGCGUGCUUAACACAUGCAAGUCGAACGGAAAGGCCCUGCUUGCCGGGUACUCGAGUGGCGAACGGGUGAGUAACACGUGGGUGAUCUGCCCUGCACUUCGGGAUAAGCCUGGGAAACUGGGUCUAAUACCGGAUAGGAGCCAUUUUUAGUGUGAUGGUUGGACAGUUUUUUCGGUGUAGGAUGAGCUCGCGGCCUAUCAGCUUGUUGGUGGGGUAAUGGCCUACCAAGGCGGCGACGGGUAGCCGGCCUGAGAGGGUGGACGGCCACAUUGGGACUGAGAUACGGCCCAGACUCCUACGGGAGGCAGCAGUGGGGAAUAUUGCACAAUGGGCGCAAGCCUGAUGCAGCGACGCCGCGUGGGGGAUGACGGCCUUCGGGUUGUAAACUCCUUUCGCUAGGGACGAAGCUUUUUGUGACGGUACCUAGAUAAGAAGCACCGGCUAACUACGUG
rnacentral:rRNA from 1 species